CAAUCAUGGUCUUCUGUGAAGAUAGUUUGAUUCUCUUGAAGGCCCCCAGGAAAGUGGGCAGGUUCACCUGUCUGAUCCCUUAGCAGUCCACGUGAAGCCAAGAGCCUGGUAAAUGGGUGCGCUACAGACUAUACCAUUUAUGUGAACAAAUUAAUCUCUGGAGCUUCCAAGAUGCAAAGAAAUAUUUGACAGCUGGGAACCAAAGAGAUUAAGGAAGAGAUUUUGCUACCUAAAAUCAGAGCGUUCUGCUAAUCCUCCAGGCAUGCCUCACAAGCUCUGCUGCUCCCACAGUCCAACUCUUCCUGUGCUGCAACAGCUCUGUCAUCAGCGAUAGUGAAAACAAAUGCUUUUUUCCCUCUACUCAGUGGCCCGUCAGCAGAAGUCAGUGAGCUAUCCGGGGAAGCCAGUUGGCAGGACAGCUGCAGGUUCUGCUACCUUAGUUCUAGAGGCAUGCAAGAGGAUUAGGCACCCAGUUCUGGAAUUGGGCGUCAGUCUGCCCUUUCUAGCUCUGAAGGCACCAUCCCUUGCUACAGGACCUAUCCACUCACAAUGCAAACCAGCUGAUGGACCUGGGACCUGCUGUGUUUCUGACUCUCUUUUGUCCUGUGAAGAUACAAAGGAGUUAACCUUUGCAGGAGGCAAAGAUUAUUGCUUCUUGGUUGCUCUGUCAGUGAAGCAAUGUAGCAUUUACAGUUCCUGGUUGUAGUUAGAUCUCUGAAAGCUACGGCUGCUACUCAAAGAUCACAGGUAGCACUCAUCCAUCACCUGGAGAUACAGUAAAGAGAGACAGGCCAAUCUGCAGCAAGCAAGUUUAUUUCAUCUCUUCUGACAUCUAUAGAUUAGGCAGCUGCCAAGAAGAUACAAUAAGGUGCUUCACCAGAAGUUACUUUCUGAAUUCAUCAGGAAUCGCUGAUGAGAUGAGCACAUGCUGAAGCUGUUGCUGGUCCCUGUCCCAGUGGCCGUAUCUCCACUAAUGAAGGAGCAACACUGAGCAUUCACUGUGUGUCAGACUUGGGUUAAUACACCAGGAUUUCUGGCUCACUAGCAAGAAACAGAGCACACAGAAACCCAGCUUCAUGCCAAGGCUUCAGGCAGGAGACAUGUGCCCUCCCUUCCCCCAUAAUCAUCUGUUCCUGAGUUGAUGGAGGCAGCCACUGAUCUGAAUGAAUGAGCAAGAUUCAGUGCGGCGAGAGAAGCAUCUGCUUGACUCAGGCCACCAAACAGCAUCUGCUGCUGGCGUUGUUUCUGAGUGACACCAAAGAAAGGACAGGACCCGAGGAGUGAAGGUUUCAUCUAAGAACUUGAGGAUUGUCCUAUUUGCCUCACCCCAGCAGCAGUGCUUUACAGAUGCAACUAUAAACAGCUACUGUAUGUUAAGAAUCAAGCUGGUAUGUCUACCUAGAGGGUAAAGGGUUGUUUUUCCCCACACACUCCCCAAAGGUAGCAAAAGAGCUGCUUCAUGGAGAAGAGAGCACAUCAUCAGCCAGCGUCUCAGUGGCUCACUGACAGCAUGCUAUCAACUGCUUAAGGGGGCACAAAUCCAUUUUUGUCUUUCUUUUUUGGCCCUGAGAAAAGAAAGGAGAAAAAAAAAAUGCAAUUUACCACGUGUCUGCAUCACUUCAAGCAAACCAGUCACACAGUAACUUCACUCACAAUUUCAGGCUCGGAGCCAGACAUUUCUAUCCAGGCCAUCAAUAAGUUUUGGAUGGGGAGCCACAGUGGGCAACAGAGUCUCAUAGCUAUUGUAGGCUUCAUCAUAAGGUGUCAGUAUUAAGCCUUCUCACUACCUCAUCCCCUGCUAGAAAAAUAAUUUCCUUGCAUGGUGUCUGAUUACCCAAGUGACAAAACCUCAAAGGCAGUUCAGAGAUAACAGGAGUCAGUGCAGGCCAGCGCCUUUCAAGAGACUUUCCAUCCUCUGUUAAGCUCAGUCAAAAUUAAUUGGGCCUGAGGGGUCAAAUUUUUGUAAACACAUUUAGGUACAGUUAGAUAUCUAAUUCCCAGAGUUGCCUGUGAAAAACUCAC